rnacentral:rRNA from 1 species
UAGGGAACCCGGGUGGAAAGGCCUGGGGUGCCCGCAGGGGAGCCCUAGCGCAGGUGCUGCAUGGCCGUCGUCAGCUCGUGCCGUGAGGUGUUGGGUUAAGUCCCGCAACGAGCGCAACCCCCGCCGUUAGUUGCCAGCGGUUCGGCCGGGCACUCUAACGGGACUGCCCGCGAAAGCGGGAGAAGGGGGGGACGACGUCUGGUCAGCAUGGCCCUUACGGCCUGGGCGACACACGUGCUACAAUGCCCACUACAAAGCGAUGCCACCCGGCAACGGGGAGCUAAUCGCAAAAAGGUGGGCCCAGUUCGGAUUGGGGUCUGCAACCCGACCCCAUGAAGCCGGAAUCGCUAGUGAUCGCGGAUCAGCCAUGCCGCGGUGAAUACGUUCCCGGGCCUU